GUCUGUAUCCACACCACCCUGAAUGCACCCGAUCUCAUCUGAUCCUGGAAGCUAAGGAGGGUUCGGCCUGAGUUAGUAUCUGAGUGGGAGAAACAGAAG
ensembl:rRNA 5S_rRNA 5S ribosomal RNA